rnacentral:rRNA from 1 species
CCUACGGGUGGCAGCAGUGAGGAAUAUUGGUCAAUGGGCGUAAGCCUGAACCAGCCAAGUCGCGUGAGGGAUGAAGGUUCUAUGGAUCGUAAACCUCUUUUAUAAGGGAAUAAAGUGCGGGACGUGUCCCGUUUUGUGUGUACCUUAUGAAUAAGGAUCGGCUAACUCCGUUCCAGCAGCCGCGGUAAUACGGAGGAUCCGAGCGUUGUCCGGAUUGAUUGGGUUUAAUGGGUGCGUAGGCGGCUUUGUAAGUCAGGGGGGAAAGUCUGUGGCUCAACCAUAGAAUUGCCGUUGAAACUGGGAGGCUUGAGGAUGUUGGAGGCAGGCGGAAUGCGUGGUGUAGCGGUGAAAUGCUUAGAUAUCACGCAGAACCCCGAUUGCGAAGGCAGCCUGCCAAGCCAUGACUGACGCUGAUGCACGAAAGCGUGGGGAUCAAACAGGAUUAGAUACCCCUGUAGUC